UGUUAGGUCAAGGUGCAGUUUAAAAAAGAAAAUAAUGGGUUACAAUAAAAAUUAUGAAUGAAUUUUAUUUCUGUAGAAUAAAUAAAAUAGGAUUUAAGAGUAAAAUUAUUAUUGAUAUGUGAUGAAUUUAGAUUCUAAAAUAUGUACACAUUGCCCGUCGCUCUUAUUUAAGAUAAGAUAAGUCGUAACAUAGUAGAUGUACCGGAAGGUGUAUCUGGUAAUAAAGUAAAUAGUUUAAAUUAAAACUUGUUAUUUACAUUAAUAGAAUAUUGAAAAAAUUUUACUUAAGAGGAUUGUUUUAAAUAAAUUUAUUAUUUACUUUAGAGGGGAGCUAAAGUAAAUAAAUAAAAAUUUUAUUUUUGUACCUUUUGUAUCAGGGUUAAUUUAAAUAAAUUUUUAAGAAAAUUUUCUUGAAAAGUAAAGAUUUAAAUAUAUAAUAUUUUUAUUGUAGAAAAACUAAGUUAAAUAUAUUUUUAGUAAUGAUAUGUUUGUCAAUUUUUUAUAUCUAGUUACUUUAAAAUUAAUUUAAUUAAUUUAAUUUUAUGUUGAAUAAAAAUUUAAAAUUAAUUUAGGGAUAAGCUUAAAUUAACUAUUUAUAGGUUAUAAAAUUAAAAUGAAAGCUAAACUUAAAAUUAGUUUUAUUUAUUAUGUUAUAAUUAAUUAUUUUAUAUAUAAAUGUUUUAUUUAUCUUUAGGGGGAGCUAAAGUUAAGUAAUUAAUUUUUUUUAUUAUGUAAAUAAUGAUUAAAUAAGUAGAUUAAGUUAAUAUUAUAAAUAAGWAUUCGGCUAACCAUUUAUUUCGUCUGUUUAUCAAAAAC
rnacentral:rRNA from 1 species